AGGGCUGUAUGAUCUGCUGCCUCACAAUAUGCAACUCCUCCAGCACAUGGUUACAGGCCUAAAGAAAUUGAGAGCUUCAAAACAGUUUCCUGCCAUACAAAUCUACAUGUUGGAGGAGGGCAUGCUGCUGGUGAAGGGAAAUGAAGAGAGAACUGCUCCAGGCACAGG